GGACCUGACUGCUAUCGGAUUGAUACUAAGCCAUGCGAGUCAUUGUAGCAAUACAAGGCAUACGGCUCAGUAACGCGUAGUCAACCUAACCUAUGGACGGGAAUAACCUCGGGAAACUGAGAAUAAUGCCCGAUAGAACAUUAUGCCUGGAAUGGUUUAUGUUCCAAAUGAUUUAUCGCCGUAGGAUGGGACUGCGGCCUAUCAGUUUGUUGGCGAGGUAAUGGCCCACCAAGACUAUUACAGGUACGGGCUCUGAGAGGAGUAGCCCGGAGAUGGGUACUGAGACACGGACCCAGGCCCUAUGGGGCGCAGCAGGCGAGAAAACUUUGCAAUGUGCGAAAGCACGACAAGGUUAAUCCGAGUGGUUUCUGCUAAAGAAACCUUUUGUCAGUCCUAGAAACACUGAUGAAUAAGGGGUGGGCAAGUUCUGGUGU
rnacentral:rRNA from 1 species